GUGGGGAAUAUUGGGCAAUGGGCGAAAGCCUGACCCAGCAACGCCGCGUGAGGGAAGAAGGUUUUCGGAUUGUAAACCUCUGUCCUUGGUGACGAAGGAAGUGACGGUAGCCAAGGAGGAAGCCCCGGCUAACUACGUGCCAGCAGCCGCGGUAAUACGUAGGGGGCAAGCGUUGUCCGGAAUGACUGGGCGUAAAGGGCGUGUAGGCGGCCGAUUAAGUCUGGAGUGAAAGUCCUGCUUUCAAGGUGGGAAUUGCUUUGGAGACUGGUUGGCUUGAGUGCGGAAGAGGUAAGUGGAAUUCCCAGUGUAGCGGUGAAAUGCGUAGAGAUUGGGAGGAACACCAGUGGCGAAGGCGACUUACUGGGCCGUAACUGACGCUGAGGCGCGAAAGCGUGGGGAGCGAACAGGAUUAGAUACCCCUGUAGUCC
rnacentral:rRNA from 1 species